GCAGUCGAGCGGUAACAGGAAGAAAGCUUGCUUUCUUUGCUGACGAGCGGCGGACGGGUGAGUAAUGCCUAGGGAACUGCCCAGUCGAGGGGGAUAACAGUUGGAAACGACUGCUAAUACCGCAUACGCCCUACGGGGGAAAGGAGGGGACCUUCGGGCCUUUCGCGAUUGGAUGUACCUAGGUGGGAUUAGCUUGUUGGUGAGGUAAGAGCUCACCAAGGCGACGAUCCCUAGCUGUUCUGAGAGGAUGAUCAGCCACACUGGGACUGAGACACGGCCCAGACUCCUACGGGAGGCAGCAGUGGGGAAUAUUGCACAAUGGGCGAAAGCCUGAUGCAGCCAUGCCGCGUGUGUGAAGAAGGCCUUCGGGUUGUAAAGCACUUUCAGCGAGGAGGAAAGGUUAACGGUUAAUACCCGUUAGCUGUGACGUUACUCGCAGAAGAAGCACCGGCUAACUUCGUGCCAGCAGCCGCGGUAAUACGAGGGGUGCAAGCGUUAAUCGGAAUUACUGGGCGUAAAGCGUACGCAGGCGGUUUGUUAAGCGAGAUGUGAAAGCCCCGGGCUCAACCUGGGAACUGCAUUUCGAACUGGCAAACUAGAGUCUUGUAGAGGGGGGUAGAAUUUCAGGUGUAGCGGUGAAAUGCGUAGAGAUCUG
rnacentral:rRNA from 1 species